rnacentral:rRNA from 1 species
ACAGGGAGGACAGGUGGUGCAUGGUUGUCGUCAGCUCGUGUCGUGAGAUGUUGGGUUAAGUCCCGCAACGAGCGCAACCCCUACGUUUAGUUGCUAACGCGUGAAGGCGAGCACUCUAGACGAACUGCCGUUGACAAAACGGAGGAAGGUGGGGAUGACGUCAAAUCAUCAUGCCCCUUAUGUUCUGGGCUACACACGUGCUACAAUGGCCGGUACAGACGGACGCAAAGCCGCGAGGUGGAGCAAAUCCUAAAAAGACCGGUCUCAGUUCGGAUUGCAGGCUGCAAUUCGCCUGCAUGAAGUCGGAAUCGCUAGUAAUCGCAGGUCAGCAUACUGCGGUGAAUACGUUCCCGGGCCCGUU